rnacentral:antisense_RNA from 1 species
GACCGACAUCAGCGACUCGUUCUGCGACCCAUUGCCGACGGCGAGGUAGGCGUUCAUCCCCAGCUCGCGCAUCUGCUGUUCGCCGAUCACCCGGGUGAUGACGUUUUUGCUGUAGGUAUCGGCCAGCUGACGCGCCUGAGAGGCCAGAUAGGCGGCGUUACAGAUGUUCGGCGGCAUAUUGCCAAGAUCUUUCGC